ACUCGGCUCCAACUAUGGCUCAGUGAGGCUGCGGCUUUUCUCAGGAUGGUAUCGUAUCGACAGAGGCGCUCUUUGGACCUACAGCAGAGACUGUCUCCGCACUGGACCAGAGGGAGGAACCAGCAUCUUUGUGUUCCUGACUGGAAAUAUUCAUAAUCUGAUAUGAAAAUAUCUGAUUGAUCUACCAAAUUCAGUUUUUGGCACGGAUUCUUUGAACUUACUAAGAGGAUUAAAUUGUAGCGUUACAGCGCGGACACACGUGGAUAGGUUACUAUUAUUUUUGCUUUAACCUGAUCAUGGUGACAACAGCCGAAUGAUUCAAAACUGUAGCUAUGGAUCGUCCUGUAGGUAUCAGGAAAAACUGUCCUGUCCGUGAUGAGUGGCGUCUGUUGCUGCCACAGUCCUCCUGCUGGACAAGUCGGUUGACGGACAGUCGACUCUCUUGGGAUACACGUGGUGUCAACAUUGUCAGAGAUGGUCAGUGUCAUAUGUGUUUGGAAAUGUCUUGUUUUGGAUUUUGGCACAAGGAAAAGGAUAUUUUGGAAUACAUUUUGGAAGCUGUGCUCCGUAGAUGUCCAGUCUCCUGACCCAGCAGUGAAGGAAUCCAGGCUCUUGGCAAUGAGAUGUCAACCUUUAUUUGUUCCCAGCAAUCUUCUGAUUUUCUCCAGUGAGCAGCAAGAAGAGGCUGACUAAUGGAAACAUGAUCUCAAGAGAUUCAACAGGAUCACACCAAAUCCCAGUUUGGAUGGUGGACCAGCAUCCUCCACAGCAGAUGUUUGUUCCUGGCAUGGCUGCUGACAGUAUGAGCUCCAGCCCUGACAAUCUAGCUCUCAGGAUCCAGCCAGCAGCUUGAACUUGGAGGAGCUGUGACAUAAAGUCAGCAGGACAGCAAAGCAUAUUCCACGGCUCAGGCAUCAUGGAAUAUAUCAGUCAACCUCUUCUGGAGUGUACUCAGGAGAGGAGUUAACUUGAUGAAUGUGCAUUUACUGUAGCUACUAUGACGAUCUACAUAUUGUUUGACUAUUUUAUAAAUUGAAACUGAAUUAGUAUUUUCCUGUGCAUACAUCUGCUCUUGCUUUUCAGUAUUUACUGACACUGUUGCUCAUACAUUGUAGUUGUGAUAUUUACUGUGUUAUUCUAAAUACAUCAUCAGCAAUUUUUUAGAUUUCAUUUUUGGACUAUUUUUUUACUGCUUUGAAGGUUACAUCACUGCUUAACUUUUCAGGUUGAUCUAAUGAGGAUACAUAUCUGCUACGCAUGUGAUCAAAAUGCCUCAGAAAAAUUACUCUGCCAAGGCAGUGGAACUUUUCAAAGAAGCCAUUGUUAUCAAGGUCUUGAUGAAUGUAAAACAAAAACUCAUUUAACGACAACGCAUUUUGUUUUGACACAUUGGCAGCGUGUCUUAAUUCUGGUUCAUAAUCCUGUCAAGUUGUCAACUCUCAUCAUGAUUUAUUGCUAUAACAUUUGUGUUGUGUCUGUGAAACCUUGUUAGCAGAAAUAAAGAGGUGCAUCCAA